GCCAUGCCGCGUGAGUGAAGAAGGCCUUCGGGUUGUAAAGCUCUUUCAGACGGAAAGAAAUUGCUUUGGUUAAUAACUGGAGUAGAUGACGGUACCGUAAGAAGAAGCACCGGCUAACUACGUGCCAGCAGCCGCGGUAAUACGUAGGGUGCGAGCGUUAAUCGGAAUUACUGGGCGUAAAGCGUGCGCAGGCGGUUAUAUAAGACAGAUGUGAAAUCCCCGGGCUUAACCUGGGAACUGCGUUUGUGACUGUAUAACUAGAGUACGGUAGAGGGGGGUGGAAUUCCUGGUGUAGCAGUGAAAUGCGUAGAUAUCAGGAGGAACAUCGAUGGCGAAGGCAGCCCCCUGGACCUGUACUGACGCUCAUGCACGAAAGCGUGGGGAGCAAACAGGAUUAGAUACCCUGGUAGUCCACGC
rnacentral:rRNA from 1 species